AUCGCCUCUUGAUAAAAUAUAAGAGGUCCAGCCUGCCCGGUGAUAUAAUUUAACGGCCGCGGUAUACUGACCGUGCGAAGGUAGCAUAAUCACUUGUUCUUUAAAUGGGGACUAGUAUGAAUGGCACCACGAGGGCUUUACUGUCUCCUUUCUUCAAUCAGUGAAACUGACCUCCCUGUGAAGAGGCAGGGAUACUACUAUAAGACGAGAAGACCCCAUGGAGCUUUAAACCCAACAACAGCCCAAACACCUACCCCCUCAAAGUUUUUAAAGUUUUGUUAGUUGGUUUUAGGUUGGGGUGACCGCGGAGUACAAACCACCCUCCACGACGAAUGGGCCUACCCCCUUACCCAAGAAUUACACCUCUAAGGAUUAACACAUUAACGUAAAAUGAUCCAAAUAUUUGAUCAACGAACCAAGUUACCCUGGGGAUAACAGCGCAAUCCAUUUUUAGAGCCCCUAUCGACAAAUGGGUUUACGACCUCGAUGUUGGAUCAGGGUAUCCCGGAGGUGCAGCCGCUU
rnacentral:rRNA from 1 species